rnacentral:rRNA from 1 species
GACGAACCUUGCUAACGUUAUUCGGAAUUACUGGGCGUAAAGCGUGCGCAGGCGGUGAUGUAAGACAGAUGUGAAAUCCCCGGGCUCAACCUGGGAACUGCAUUUGUGACUGCAUCGCUGGAGUGCGGCAGAGGGGGAUGGAAUUCCGCGUGUAGCAGUGAAAUGCGUAGAUAUGCGGAGGAACACCGAUGGCGAAGGCAAUCCCCUGGGCCUGCACUGACGCUCAUGCACGAAAGCGUGGGGAGCAAACAGG